rnacentral:tRNA from 1 species
GGAGACGUGUCAGAGUGGUCUAAUGUACCUCUUUGCUAAAGAGGUGUGCUCUUAAUCGGGCACCGACGGUUCGAAUCCGUCCGUCUCCG